rnacentral:tRNA from 1 species
GCAGUGGUAGUUUAGUGGUAGAAUUCUUGUUUCCAUGCAGGAGGCACAGGUUUGAUCCCUGGCCAAUGCG